rnacentral:rRNA from 1 species
ACUCCUACGGGAGGCAGCAGUGGGGAAUAUUGCACAAUGGGGGGAAAACCCUGAUGCAGCCAUGCCGCGUGUGUGAAGAAGGCCUUCGGGUUGUAAAGCACUUUCAGUAGGGAGGAAGGUAGUGUAGUUAACACCUGCAUUAUUUGUACGUUACCUACAGAAGAAGCACCGGCUAACUCCGUGCCAGCAGCCGCGGUAAGUACGGAGGGUGCGAGCGUUAAUCGGAAUUACUGGGCGUAAAGCGCAUGCAGGCGGCCUGUUAAGUCAGAUGUGAAAGCCCGGGGUCUUAAACCUCGGAAUUGCAUUUGAAACUGGCGAGGCUAGUAGUCUUUGUAGGAGGGGGUUAGAAUUUCGAGGUGUAGCGGUGAAAUGCGUAGAGAUCGUGAAGGAAUACCGAGGUGG